CGGACGGGUGAGUAAUGCUGGGAAACUGCCCGAUGGAGGGGGAUAACUACUGGAAACGGUAGCUAAUACCGCAUAACGUCGCAAGACCAAAGAGGGGGACCUUAGGGCCUCUUGCCAUCGGAUGUGCCCAGAUGGGAUUAGCUAGUAGGUGGGGUAACGGCUCACCUAGGCGACGAUCCCUAGCUGGUCUGAGAGGAUGACCAGCCACACUGGAACUGAGACACGGUCCAG
rnacentral:rRNA from 1 species